rnacentral:rRNA from 1 species
UACGGAGGGUGCAAGCGUUAUCCGGAUUCACUGGGUUUAAAGGGUGCGUAGGCGGGCAGGUAAGUCAGUGGUGAAAUCUCCGAGCUUAACUCGGAAACUGCCAUUGAUACUAUUUGUCUUGAAUAUUGUGGAGGUAAGCGGAAUAUGUCAUGUAGCGGUGAAAUGCUUAGAUAUGACAUAGAACACCAAUUGCGAAGGCAGCUCACUACACGAAUAUUGACUCUGAGGCACGAAAGCGUGGGGAUCAAACAGG